rnacentral:rRNA from 1 species
CCUACGGGAGGCAGCAGUGGGGGAUAUUGCACAAUGGGGGGAACCCUGAUGCAGCGACGCCGCGUGGGUGAAGGAGUGCUUCGGCAUGUAAAGCCCUAUCGGCAGGGAAGAAGCAAGACGGUACCUGACUAAGACGCCCCGGCUAACUACGUGCCAGAAGCCGCGGUACUACGUAGGGGGGGAGCGUUAUCCGGAUUCACUGGGGGGAAAGGGAGCGUAGACGGGCAAGCAAGCCAGGGGGGAAACCCCGGGGCCCAACCCCGGGACUGCCCUUGGGACCGGACGGCUGGAGUGCGGGAGGGGCAGGCGGAAUUCCUGGUGUAGCGGUGAAAUGCGUAGAUAUCAGGAGGAACACCGGCGGCGAAGGCGGCCUGCUGGACCGCGACUGACGUUGAGGCUCGAAAGCGUGGGGAGCGAACAGGAUUAGAUACCCCAGUAGUC